rnacentral:lncRNA from 1 species
CUCAUCCUGUCUGGACAGCUUAGCAUCGGUAUUACUUUCACAACACUCAGACCAUGCGCAGAAUAGCUUAUGGGUCCACAUGUUUCACAUCAAGCGUGAGGACUGCCCAUUGUCAAGGAACACCCUGUUUGCCUGCCAGUCUUCCUCAGGAUACUUAGAAUACAGGAGUUGGAAAAGCAUGAGAACACUCUGAUACACAAGGAAGGAGUCUCUUGCAAUGAGAGUUAUUUUGAAUGUGGGGGUCAGAGGAUGCUGAAGAGCAGUUUUGUCCAAAAAGAACAUCAUCUCCAGCGGAGAAAGGGCAGCUCUGAGCCUCGGGAGAGACUCCAUUGUAAACUCUCAGUCUACAUACUUGGCUCACUAUGAAAGAAUCCAAUAUGGAGCAACAAGAAGGAACUCAGGCCCUGCACCAGUCAAGUGUGUACUCAUGCUUUAGUCAGUGUGUCCUAGGAAACAUAUAACCUGGUGCUUCUUCAGGACUCUGGUGCUCCUGAAGCCCCACAAGUUCUCUCUGGGAGAUGAAUGCUUUCAGACAAGACUGCAACCCUACCCUCUCUUCCAGGCCCCUGACUGACAUAAUCAGAACGGUCACUCCAAAU